rnacentral:rRNA from 1 species
GCUGAAUACAUAGGCUUCGUGAAGCGAACCCGGCGAACUGAAACAUCUCAGUAGCUGGAGGAAAAGACAUCAACCGAGAUUCCGUUAGUAGUGGCGAGCGAACGCGGACCAGGCCAGUGCCUGAAUUUCAACUAGCAGAAGCCUUUGGAAAGAGGUGCCAUAGCGGGUGACAGCCCCGUAUGCGAAAGUGAGAAUUCAGGACUUGAGUAGGGCGGGACACGUGUAAUCCUGUCUGAACAUAGG